GACGAACGCUGGCGGCGUGCUUAACACAUGCAAGUCGAACGGAAAGGCCCUGCUUUUGUGGGGUGCUCGAGUGGCGAACGGGUGAGUAACACGUGAGUAACCUGCCCUGGACUUUGGGAUAACUUCAGGAAACUGGGGCUAAUACCGGAUAGGAGCCCCUGCUGCAUGGGGGGGGUUGGAAAGUUUCGGCGGUUGGGGAUGGACUCGCGGCUUAUCAGCUUGUGGGUGGGGUAGUGGCUUACCAAGGCUUUGACGGGUAGCCGGCCUGAGAGGGUGACCGGCCACAUUGGGACUGAGAUACGGCCCGGACUCCUACGGGAGGCAGCAGUGGGGAAUAUUGCACGAUGGGCGGAAGCCUGAUGAAGCAACGCCGCGUGCGGGAUGACGGCCUUCGGGUUGUAAACCGCUUUCGCCUGUGACGAAGCGUGAGUGACGGUAAUGGGUAAAGAAGCACCGGCUAACUACGUG
rnacentral:rRNA from 1 species